rnacentral:tRNA from 1 species
GGCCUAAAAGGAUAUGAGCAGCGGACUCAUAAUUCGUUGGUGCCGGGUUCGACUCCCGGGGGGGCCACCA